rnacentral:rRNA from 1 species
AUAACAAUACCGGGCUCUUUGAGUCUGGUAAUUGGAAUGAGUACAAUCUAAAUCCCUUAACGAGAAUCCAUUGGAGGGCAAUUUUGGUGCCAGCAGCCGCGAUAAUUCCAGCUCUAA